rnacentral:rRNA from 1 species
ACUGAACGCUGGCGGCAUGCCUUACACAUGCAAGUCGAACGGCAGCAUAGAGAGCUUGCUCUCUGAUGGCGAGUGGCGAACGGGCGAGUAAAGCAUCGGAACGUACCGUGUAGUGGGGGAUAACGUAGCGAAAGUUACGCUAAUACCGCAUACGCACUGAGGUGGAAAGCAGGGGAUCGCAAGACCUUGCGCUAUACGAGCGGCCGAUGUCGGAUUAGCUAGUUGGUAGGGUAGAGGCCUACCAAGGCGACGAUCUGGAGCGGGUCUGAGAGGAUGAUCCGCCACACUGGGACUGAGACACGGCCCAGACUCCUACGGGAGGCAGCAGUGGGGAAUUUUGGACAAUGGGGGCAACCCUGAUCCAGCCAUGCCGCGUGAGUGAAGAAGGCCUUCGGGUUGUAAAGCUCUUUCGGCCGGGAAGAAAUCGCACAGGCUAAUACUCUGUGUGGAUGACGGUACCGGCAUAAGAAGCACCGGCUAACUACGUGCCAGCCGCCGCCGUAA